GGGCCCGCACAAGCGGUGGAGCAUGUGGUUUAAUUCGAUGCAACGCGAAGAACCUUACCUGCCCUUGACAUCCUCGGAAGGGACCGGAAACGGACCCGUGCCUUCGGGAACCGAGAGACAGGUGCUGCAUGGCUGUCGUCAGCUCGUGUCGUGAGAUGUUGGGUUAAGUCCCGUAACGAGCGCAACCCCUAUCCUUAGUUGCCAGCACGUAAUGGUGGGAACUCUAGGGAGACUGCCGGUGAUAAACCGGAGGAAGGUGGGGAUGACGUCAAGUCAUCAUGCCCCUUAUGUCCAGGGCUGCACGCAUGCUACAAUGGCAAGUACAACGAGCCGCAAUACCGCGAGGUGGAGCAAAUCUCUUAAAGCUUGUCUCAGUUCGGAUAGGAGUCUGCAACUCGACUCCUUGAAGUUGGAGUCGCUAGUAA
rnacentral:rRNA from 1 species